AUCCUUUUCCGGUUCAUAAGCAUGAUGAUUGGAUGUUCACAUGUGUGUGCAACAUGUGCCUCCCUAAAAACUUGUUCUGCAGCGUGCAAAAUGUGCACUGGUG
ensembl:snoRNA